UACGUAGGGUGCAAGCGUUUGUCCGGAAUUAUUGGGCGUAAAGAGCUCGUAGGCGGUUUGUCGCGUCUGCUGUGAAAACUCGGGGCUUAACCCCGGGCCUGCAGUGGGUACGGGCAGACUAGAGUGCGGUAGGGGGAGACUGGAAUUCCUGGUGUAGCGGUGAAAUGCGCAGAUAUCAGGAGGAACACCGGUGGCGAAGGCGGCGCUCUGGGCCGGUACUGACACUGAGGAGCGAAAGCGUGGGUAGCAAACAGG
rnacentral:rRNA from 1 species